rnacentral:rRNA from 1 species
GGGUCAGUAGGUUGGUCGUGCCACCGGUACGUACUGGUCUCACUGAUUCCUCCUUCCUGAAGAACCGUAAUGCCAUUAAUUUGGUGUUGCGGGGAAACAGGACUGUUACUUUGAAAAAAUUAGAGUGUUUAAAGCAAGCUAACGCUUGGAUACAUUAGCAUGGAAUAAUGAAAUAGGACGAUCGAUCCUAUUUUGUUGGUUUCUGGGAUUGACGUA